CUUCACCGACCCCAGCCACAGCGGCCGCUCCCGGUCCUGGCCGUAGGUGGCCAGCAACGCCUGGGCCUC
rfam:Actinokineospora bangkokensis strain 44EHW Scaffold19, whole genome shotgun sequence.